rnacentral:rRNA from 1 species
GACGAACGCUGGCGGCGUGCUUAACACAUGCAAGUCGAACGGAAAGGCCCUGCUUUUGUGGGGUGCUCGAGUGGCGAACGGGUGAGUAACACGUGAGUAACCUGCCCUUGACUUUGGGAUAACUUCAGGAAACUGGGGCUAAUACCGGAUAGGAGCUCCUGCUGCAUGUUGGGGGUUGGAGAGAUUCGGCGGUUGGGGAUGGACUCGCUGCUUAUCAGCUUGUUGGUGUGGUAGUGGCAGACCAAGGCUUUGACGGGUAGCCGGCCUGAGAGGGUGACCGGGCACCUUGGGACUGAGAUACGGCCCAGACUCGUACGGGAGGCAGCAGUGGGGAAUAUUGCACAAUGGGCGGAAGCGUGAUGUAGCAACCUCGCGUGCGGGAUGCCGGCUUUCGAGGUGUAAACCGCUGUGUCCGUUGACGAAGAGUGCGUGACGGUAAUGGGUAAAGAAGCAACGGCUAACUACGUG